rnacentral:rRNA from 1 species
AGGUGGGCACUCUAAGGAGACUGCCGGUGACAAACCGGAGGAAGGUGGGGAUGACGUCAAGUCAUCAUGGCCCUUACGGCCUGGGCUACACACGUGCUACAAUGGUCGGUACAAAGGGUUGCCAAGCCGCGAGGUGGAGCUAAUCCCAUAAAACCGAUCGUAGUCCGGAUCGCAGUCUGCAACUCGACUGCGUGAAGUUUCGGAAUCGCUAGUAAUCGUGAAUCAGAAUGUCACGGUGAAUACGUUCCCGGGCCUU